CUCAUUACUUUGUCGACAUUUAUAGAAACAACAGUUUUGGAAUAAUAACAACUCCGAGUGAUUAUUUUAACAAUGUUUAGUUUUUUCGUUAAUUUUCUAAUGAUAUUAUCAGUACCGAUUGCCCAGAUCAAGGCUCAGGUGUGGGACAUUUUCUUCUCCCAAAACAACACACUUUUCUUAAAAAAUGAUGAUGUUGCACUGUUUGAAGUUCAGCAUGUAAGUGUUAUGCAAUGUGCAGCCCUCUGUUUUUGCAAAACUUGUUGUAAGGCGUUCAUGUUUAAUACCGCGAGUCAUCAGUGUAUUGGCCUCCAUUUCCCAGACUUUGAAAGCAACGUUAAUUUGAUUACUUUUCCAUUAUAUGAAGGAUAUGUGACAUAUCAAAAAGAAUGUGAAAAUGGCUGGUUAGAGUUUGGUGGUCAUUGUUACAUUCUACUUGAAAAGAAAUCCACUUGGGCUGAAGCACGGAUGGAAUGUCAAAAAAUGCGUUCAUACUUGGUGGAAAUUGAGAGUACGAUGGAAGCUGAAUGGAUCUCUAAAACAUUUAUUGAUCAAGGAAAAGCAUUCGUAUGCGAAUGUGUGCAACGGAUUUUCUUGUAUAUACAUGCAUAGCGUCAAUCAGUUGUACAGAAUACUGUUUUGUCUUUCUUUCUCAUAGUAAAACUUUAUAUAAUCCAAGAUCAGAACGGUGUUUAAUUUAUUAAUGAUUGCCUAUGUACCGAUUUUUGUUGGAAGGAGGGUUCUGUACGCCUUUGUUUUUAACCUCAAUGGAGUUGUUUAAAUAGACGGCAUGGUAUAGUACGAAUUUUGCUUUAGUAGACAUAUAACAAGAAUUGCAUUGCAUUGACAAAAAAAAAACAAACAUGAAAAUUGCAAUAGUUACAUCAACUGGUAUUUUAGUGUCAUUAACGUGCCUGUGCUGCAAACACAUUUAUUUAACAUGGUAUGCAUCGUUGAAUCUGUUUGAUCAUUAAUUCACUCUAAUUUUCAGCAAACUGUGGACGAGACCCUUAUGCAUGUACAGCGUGGACGGGUUUGAAUGACCUACAUAUUGAAGGACAAUAUAGAUGGGACCAUUCGAACACACUUUUGAAUUUCUCUAACUGGUUUCCCGGCCAACCCAGUUUAAUGUCCCCAAGCAAUGCUGUAGAUAGGGAUUGUAUCGAUAUGUUGAGUAAUGGUUUUUGGAAUGACCGACCAUGUUCUUAUCUUAAUUCAGUCAUAUGUGAAAAAUCCUUCAAAAACUGAUUGAUGAAUGCAUACUUUAUGAUAAAAAAUUCAAGUUCAAUGGAAAGAAAUGAUCACUAUUGAAAAUGAUUGUCUGUUGACUUCAUUAAGGGAUUAAAAAUUGUUAGAAAAAAUGACAUUCUUAUUAAAA
rnacentral:misc_RNA from 1 species